rnacentral:rRNA from 1 species
GGGGGGGGGGGGGGGGGGGGGGGGGGGGGGGGGGGGGGGGGGGGGGGGGGGGCGGGGGUGGGGGGCGCGGGGGGCGGGGGGGGGAGGAGCACGGGGGUAACGGGCCCUUGACUUGGGGGUGACUUCAGGAAGCUGGGGCUAAGGCCGAGUAGGAGCUGCGGCGGCAUGGUGGGGGUGGGAAAUUUUCGGCGGGUGGGGAUGGCCUCGCGGCUUAUCAGCUUGUUGGUGGGGUAGUGGCUUACCAAGGCUUUGACGGGUAGCCGGCCUGAGAGGGUGACCGGCCACCUUGGGACUGAGAUACGGCCCAGACUCCUACGGGAGGCAGCAGUGGGGAAUAUUGCACAAUGGGCGGAAGCCUGAUGCAGCAACGCCGCGUGCGGGAUGACGGCCUUCGGGUUGUAAACCGCUUUCGCCUGUGACGAAGCGUGAGUGACGGUAAUGGGUAAAGAAGCACCGGCUAACUACGUG